rnacentral:rRNA from 1 species
AUUGAACGCUGGCGGCAGGCUUAACACAUGCAAGUCGAACGAGCGGCGGACGGGUGAGUAAUGUCUGGGAAACUGCCUGAUGGAGGGGGAUAACUACUGGAAACGGUAGCUACUACCGCAUACCAUAAGAUGUGCCCAGAUGGGAUUAGCUGGUAGGUGGGGUAAAGGCUCACCUAGGCGACGAUCCCUAGCUGGUCUGAGAGGAUGACCAGCCACACCGGAACUUAGACACGGUCCUGAUGCCUACGGGAGGCAGGAGGGGGGAAGAGUGCACAACGGGAGCAAGCCUGAUGCAGGCAUGGCGGGUGGUGUAAGAAGGCCUGCGGGUUGGAAAGGACUUUCAGGGGGGAGGCGUUACCCGCAGAAGAAGCACCGGCUAACUCCGUGCCAGCAGCCGCGGUAAUGC